AUUGAACGCUGGCGGCAGGCCUAACACAUGCAAGUCGAGCGGAUGGAGGGAGCUUGCUCCUGGAUUCAGCGGCGGACGGGUGAGUAAUGCCUAGGAAUCUGCCUGGUAGUGGGGGAUAACGUCCGGAAACGGGCGCUAAUACCGCAUACGUCCUGAGGGAGAAAGUGGGGGAUCUUCGGACCUCACGCUAUCAGAUGAGCCUAGGUCGGAUUAGCUAGUUGGUGGGGUAAAGGCCUACCAAGGCGACGAUCCGUAACUGGUCUGAGAGGAUGAUCAGUCACAGUGGAACUGAGACACGGUCCAGACUCCUACGGGAGGCAGGAGAGGGGAAUAUUGGAGAAUGGGCGAAAGAAUGAUCCAGGCAUGCCGCGUGUGUGAAGAAGGUCUUCGGAUUGUAAAGCACUUUAAGUUGGGAGGAAGGGAAGUAAGUUAAUACCGUGCUGUUUUGACGUUACCAACAGAAUAAGCACCGGAUAACUUCGUG
rnacentral:rRNA from 1 species